UGUUCUUCAGGUCGGAAAGUCGGAGUUUAUGCCGCGUUCAAACCAACUGGGAGUUCGGAACUCGGUCCCGAAAAUAUCAGACUUCCGAGCUUUUUAAACAACUGGGAACUCGGAAGAAAAAAAAUUAUAUUUGAACGGUUAUCGAACUCGGAAUUCCAACUCGGGAACUCGGGCCUUUUUCUUGAGCUCCGACUUUCCGACCUGAAAAUCCCUGACGUCAUGAUUUGACCGCGUAUUUUUUCGAGUUCCCAGUUGUUUUGAACGCGGCACAAGAAAUAAGCCCUUGUUCCGGAGUUGGAAUUCCGAGUUUAAUGACCAUUCAGAUCGAUUUUUCCCAGUCAGAGCUCGUUUUUCCUGAGUUCCCAGUUGGUUUGAACGCGGCAGUAGUGAGUUAGCUGGAGGAAGGAACACUCACAGUCCACUAUGGCGGAGACGCACAGCUUGCAGGAGCUGCAGCAACAAGCAGCCGUCGCCUCCAAAGUGUAUGUCCAGAGGGACUACAACUCGGGUAAAAUCUGCAAGUUCCAGACCAAGUUCCCCUCAGAGCUGGAGUCCAGGGUUGGUAAGCAGCAGUUUGAGGAGACAAUGCAGACGCUUAACAACCUUUACGCUGAGGCCGAGAAAAUUGGUGGCAAGUCUUACCUGGAGGGCUGCUUGGCCUGCAUGACAGCCUACACAAUCUUCCUCUGUAUGGAGACCCACUAUGAGAAAGUAUUGAAGAAAAUCGCUAGGUUCGUCAAGGAGCAGAAUGAGAAGAUCUACGCUCCUCUGGGACUGCUGCUGACAGACCCAAUAGAGAGAGGUCUCAGGGUUGUAUCCAUUACUGUCUUGGAGGCUCACACAAACCGAGAGUACAUCCCAAAUGGCACUGGUCUGGUCAAAAGUAGUGCGCUAUAUAGGUUAUAGGAUGCCAUUUGGGACACACACUCAGACCUUUCUUGUGUACCCUUCUUUAAUUUCUUGCUGGAUCCCAGUUUCCUUAACUAACCCCCUCACCAGGUUGAAAUCACAAUUUUUGAGGACAGAAGUAUUGGCUCCGGAAGAUGAACCACACCAAUGGAUGGCCUAUUUGACCUGGUGCAUCCCAAUUAUCUCACCACACCCAUCAAUAAUUCCUUCUGGAUGUAGAUAAUUGUUUUUAUUUAUUUCACAAAAGGGAUGGGCUGUGUGCUAGUAAUCUAUAUCCCGCUGAAACAAACACUCCCUGUUUUUACAUGUUUAUUGAGAUUAUUCAUUUGAACAUGUGAAAAUGUGUUAUUCUAGUUAACCAAGUCCACACCUUUAGUAUGAAUGGUGCUGUUUUGUUUUAUAUUGCCAUUUUUAAACUCUUACUCAUUAAAGGUGUAUUGUGUAAUAUCUCCAAAUACAAAUAGCCUUUAAAGCUAUAGUUCACCCACAGUUUUUAAACCUGUGUUUAAUAUACCCUCUUUGGUUCAACAAAAUUACAACAUUAGCAAGAUGGUUCCUUACCUUGACAGUAGUCUACUGGCCAGGAGAAACUGUAAUCCACGACAAUACAUUUGUCUACUAAGACUCUCACGAAGCUGGCACUUGACUACAAGAAAUAAACGUAUUUUCCACCAUAACUCCUCUAAGAUUAGGAUCUCUAGUUAUCUAUUUCAUAAUUAUUGUUAUGUUUAUUUAUCAGAUAUUAUGCAUUUCCACAACUACCAAUGCAAACAUUUUCAUUACCGCAAUAGUUUUCAAAGUCCCAAAAAAGUAAUAAACCAAUUUCUAUAUAUUUUGUAACAUUGCUCACCUAAUGAAAAGGCCUGAGUUAAACACUGAAAACAAAUAUAUUUAAAAUUAAAUUAUUCAUGUGUUUUGUUAUUUUUCAUUACUGCAACACACAACCUUUUCUGAAUCAGUUUUUUGGUAAUAUUUAGUUGUUUUUAUGUAAACCUAUUUGGAUAAAGAACAAAAGGCACACUAUCAGAUGAAGCGAAAAUUACUAGUCUACAUUUAACUUUUUGUAAUAUUUCCUAAAUAUUGUUUUAUUACAGUAAUGUUAAGUUGGAUCCGGAGAUGAGAAUACGUGUUUUGGUAAUGCGUGUUGCAUAGUUUGCAGUUUAAAAACUGUACUGAGCUCUGUUAGAUUCAUCAUCAAAAUGUGUCAUUUGUCAGUUCCAAAUGAUUUGGGUAAUAUGAAAAUCGCUGGUCUUAAUACAAUUGACUAAAAUCCCUUAAUUUAGCAAUUUAGCAUGUAUUUUCAAAAGUGAAAGUGGACUUAAGCAUAAAACGGUUACUUUUUUCCCCAGGUAAUAUUGGUGUAUUAGGAUGUGGAUAUGUGUGGUUCUAAGGUAUUUUAGAUGGGUUUCUAAAUUGAAUGGCAUCUUAUGGGCAAAUGGCAUAACAUGAUAUGCCUAUAAAGUAUCUAGAUAUGUGGGAUAUUUACCAAAAAGAGAGGUAAAACGGGUACACAUGUCAAAAUGGGGGAUAUCCUGUAAGUGGCGGGGCUGCUCUUUGUUGAAACAAACUCCAGAUUGUGGCUUUAAGUAAAUUAAUUGGUGUUUACACCCAUAAUUCUUUGAUCCUACUUAAUUGAUUAACUGAUGUUUUACCAAUAAUCUAUAUUUUUUUUCUCAUUUUGGUAAUGAGGUCGUCAAGUGUUGUAAAGGGGAGAAUAAGAUCCUCAUUCAAAAGACAUAAAUAAAGAUUAAAUUAACUUGUUCAUGUAAGGACUACUUCUCUAGAUGAUGCAUCAUGGGUGAAUAAAACUUUAUUAAAAAAUGAAUAUAGGCGUUUUUACGUAAUAAAUAUUAUAGUUUAAUGUAAACUUCAACUAGUACAGAAUUUUUAUGAUUUAUCCUCAAACUACAGAAACAUUGUUUAUUCAAAUAAGUUAUGUUUUUCUAGUAUUAGUAGUACCAUUUUGUAAAAUUACCCAAUUUUUAAUCCGGAUGCAUUUUGGUAAUGAGAAUUUGGGGUGAAAAUGUAAGGCACUAUGCCAUAAACUUAGCGUCUUAGAAUUCAGAAUGAUUGUUGCAGAUGCAUCAUGGUUUUAUAACUCAAUUUGUUACUGCCACGGUUAAACCUUGUUUCAUGAGAAUCACCCAACUGCUAACUUGAGCAUUAAUGACCAAAAACAAUGAGAGGGGAAUGGGGCAGCGCUAGCGCAUUCCAACUUGUGGAUUUUUGUUCUUGGAGGUUGCAAACUUAAAACAGUAACAACAUUUCAAUCCUGCUAAGUUUCUGGUUUAUGAUUUGUUAUUUCCGGUAUUACUAAAUUGUACUCCUCAAAAACCAACAAAGUUCAUGCUAAAAUGUGACAUAUUGCACCUUUUAUUCAGCCUGUCAUUUUGUAUGCAAUUUUCAUGAAGAGAACUAAUUUGAGUUGGUGUGGGUGCACUUUUGGUCACCUUAGACGCGGGCUAUUCAAUAUGAACUUGUUUCGUAUGCAUCAUGUUGUGUGGGUCUGCAUAGUAUUAUGAAGAUGUCUGUUCUGAAGUGACUGUUAACCACAGUGUUUUAAGCACACAGGUUACCUGUUAUCGCCAAUAUGAAUCAUGUUUUCACAUUGGCUAGUUUAAUUUAUGAAUGUGUAAGAAAAGGUUAAAAAUCACUUACCUAGAUUGGACCACAAUAUUGCCACUGCUUAGCUUGACUUAAUGUGAAUUGACAGGAAUUGGGACUCCAACCCUGACUGUGGUGUAACAUAAUUAUGAAGAGUUUUUAGACUACCCCAUAUCCUUGAUGUGUAAAUAAUUAUUGACCACAACACAAAAUCACCACAGAAACCUUAAGCAUGCUUUGACUCUCAAUGGUGUAUACGACUGCCUGUUAAUUCCUAAUUAUUGUUUGUUUGUUAUUAUAUGUACUGUAUCUAUUAAUAAACUAUUUUCUUGAUGCCC